UUUAGAUUUGUUUGCCUAUCAAGUCUUACCAAACCACUGCAGUUUACAUCAUAUGUCUGUAUGUCUGAACAAAGCUCUGAGAAAGAACAAAGCUCAAAGCUCAAUUGAAAGGAAGAACAAUGGCUCUAGGAUUGGGUUAAAAAAUAUAUGGAGCUCAAAAAGAUAAAUACAACUAGAUUGCUUCGAUGGGGAUGUAACAAGAUUAUCGUGCAUGCUCUUCACUGGAGAUAUAUACAAGUUGAUAUAAAGACUUUUUGAAAAGUGAUGAGGCGCUCCUAAGAAUUCUAUGAAAGAACAAGUUUGAAAAUCAUAUUUAUUUUUGUAAAAAUCAUACAUAUGCUAACUACGAUCCAGAUUUUGUAAAGUUUCCUAUCGAUGUGAAUUUUAUUACUUACAAUCGUUUUGUAAAGCCUUUUAUCUAUGUGAAAUUUAUUGGCUAUCGAUGUGUAUGUUAGAUAAUAUUCAUUUGAAUUAUUGGCUUAUGCUAUGAGUUCAUUUUUGUAAAUGUAACACACUAGGUGAUAUAGUCUUUUUUGUUUUUUUGUUUUUUCUUCCUAAUGUGCUCUUGAAUUAGGUUAAAGAAAACUAAUCAUAUUUUUAUUUGGUUGAAUUUGAUUUUUUGCUUCCAUAUAUUAUUUUUAUCACGAAGGGUGUUGCUUUUAUAUUAAGUUGAUAAUUUAUCUUCAUAUAGGAUUAGAUUGUGUGCGUAUUAAUCUAUUUAAAUAAUUGUUCAUUGCAU